AACGCACCUUGCGCUCUAUGGCAAUCCGUAGAGCAUGCCUGUUUGAGUGCCAUGAAAUCUCCCACCCCAAGCGGUUUUUAAAUGAAACGGCUUGGCGGAAUGGGGUCUGGAUGGGUGCCUCUGCCUGCGCUACCUAGCACAGGCUCGCCCGAAAUGCAUGAGCGCCUUGAGACACUUUGCAUCCGCCUCUCUGUUUGGGAGGAGGCGGCCAAGCAGUGUUUUUCUCCUGGCAUGGCAUGAUACGUCAUUUGCUAUGUCGCCUAAAGGAGGAAUGUUUGGUUGUGUCUGCGUGUGCUUCGAACUUGCCUCUGUGGCACAUCCCAAUUUCACUUCUGGUCUCAAAUCAGGUAGGAUCACCCGCUGAACUUAA
rnacentral:misc_RNA from 1 species